CCUACGGGUGGCAGCAGUGGGGAAUAUUGCACAAUGGGGGAAACCCUGAUGCAGCGACGCCGCGUGAGUGAAGAAGUAUUUCGGUAUGUAAAGCUCUAUCAGCAGGGAAGAAACCCACCCUCCGGGGUGGCUGACGGUACCUGACUAAGAAGCCCCGGCUAACUACGUGCCAGCAGCCGCGGUAAGACGUAGGGGGCAAGCGUUAUCCGGAUUUACUGGUUGAAAAGGGAGCGAAGGGGGCAAGGCAAGUCAGAUGUGAAAACCCGGGGCCCAACCCCGGGAGUGCAUUUGAAACUGUCUGGCUAGAGGGCAGGAGAGGUAAGUGGAAUUCGUGGUGUAGCGGUGAAAUGCAUAGUUAUUAGGAGGAACACCAGUGGCGAGGGCGGCUUACUGGACUGUAACUGACACUGAGGCUCGAAAGCGUGGGGAGCAAACAGGAUUAGAUACCCCAGUAGU
rnacentral:rRNA from 1 species